AUUGAACGCUGGCGGCAGGCCUAACACAUGCAAGUCGAACGAGUGGCGGACGGGUGAGUAAUGUCUGGGAAACUGCCCGAUGGAGGGGGAUAACUACUGGAAACGGUAGCUAAUACCGCAUACCAUCAGAUUGGCCCAGAUGGGAUUAGCUAGUAGGUGGGGUAAUGGCUCACCUAGGCGACGAUCCCUAGCUUGUCUAAAAGGAUGACAAGCCACACUGGGACUGAGACACGGCCCAGACUCCUACGGGAGGCAGCAGUGGGGAAUUUUGGACAAUGGGGGCAACCCUGAUCCAGCCAUCCCGCGUGUGCGAAGAAGGCCUUCGGGUUGUAAAGCACUUUUGGCAGGAAAGCGGUACCUGCAGAAUAAGCACCGGCUAACUACGUGCCAGCAGCCGCGGUAAUUC
rnacentral:rRNA from 1 species